rnacentral:misc_RNA from 1 species
CCUUGUGGAGGAGGACGCCGAAGGUGGGGCUAAUGACUGGGGUGAAGUCGUAACAAGGUAGCCGUACCGGAAGGUGCGGCUGGAUCACCUCCUAACAGGGAGACAACAAAAUGUUUAAUAUUAUUAUUUUGUCACCUUAGGUCGAUCGGUAUCUCACGUUCUUAAUUCGUUAAGAAUUUCAUUUCCUAAGUUUUUCUAGGUCACACCCAUUAUUUUUCCUGGGCCAUUAGCUCAGGUGGUUAGAGCGCACCCCUGAUAAGGGUGAGGUCCCUGGUUCAAGUCCAGGAUGGCCCAUAUCUCUAUGUUGGGGGUAUAGCUCAGUUGGUAGAGCGCCUGCUUUGCAAGCAGGAUGUCAGCGGUUCGAGUCCGCUUACCUCCACUGAUUACCACCUCUUCCAUAACCGAUAGAAAGGAAAUGUUUUGAGUUGUGAUCAUUAUUCUGAACGAAUCUAGCUUCCUAAUGAAAUCAUUAAGAUGCUGGACUCAUUGAAUUAAUUUCAUUGUUUUCAGAGAACCUUGACAACUGCAUAGAUUAUUUUUAAAGACAAUAAGCAUCUUUAAUGAUGCAGAUUUAUUAUUUGUGCGAAUGCAUUAAUAACAAUUCUAUUAAGCUGAUGCUUCAAUUUUUGAAGUUAUUGGUCAAGCUACAAAGGGCUCACGGAGGAUACCUAGGCACACAGAGGC